UUUGCGGAAGUGUUUCCAGGAGACGGUGGGCGGGCUGCGCGUGCGCCUGGGGGCGGCCGGCCGGAGGUGGUCUGCCGGGUCAGGGGCGCCGCCGCCCGGGUCCUCCGCUCCAUGGUGCGCUGGUGCGGCAGCCGGCGGACGCGUCCUCGGGAUGGAGCACAUCCGUACGACCAAGGUUGAGCAGGUGAAGUUACUUGACCGGUUCAGCACCAGCAGCAAGUCCUUGACGGGCACCCUGUACCUCACGGCCACACACCUGCUGUUCAUAGACUCGCAUCAGAAGGAAACCUGGAUCCUGCACCACCACAUCGCCUCGGUGGACAAGCUGGCUCUGACGACGGCCGGGUGCCCGCUGGUGAUUCAGUGCAAGAACUUCCGCAUCGUGCAUUUCGUCGUGCCCCGGGAGAGGGACUGCCACGACGUCUACAACUCCCUGCUGCAGCUGUCCAAACAAGCUAAAUACGAAGAUCUGUACGCCUUCUCUUAUAAUCCCCAACAAAAUGAGUCUGAACGGCAGCGAGGCUGGCAGCUCCUGGACCUGGCUGAGGAGUACAAGCGGAUGGGGCUGCCCAAUUCCAACUGGCAGCUGUCUGAUGCCAACCGCGACUACAAGAUUUGCGAGACUUACCCCAGGGACCUCUACGUUCCGCGGAUAGCGAGCAAACCCAUCAUUGUGGGCAGUUCCAAGUUCCGCAGCAAGGGUCGCUUCCCGGUCCUGUCCUACUACCAUCAGGCCAAGGAGGCGGCCAUUUGCCGGUGCAGUCAGCCGCUGUCGGGCUUCAGCGCCCGGUGCCUGGAGGAUGAGCACUUGCUUCAGGCCAUCAGCAAAGCCACCCCGGCCAACCGCUUCAUGUACGUCAUGGACACCAGGCCCAGGCUGAAUGCAAUGGCCAACAGAGCAGCGGGAAAAGGUUAUGAAAACGAAGACAACUAUUCUAAUAUUAGAUUUCAGUUUGUUGGAAUUGAAAAUAUCCAUGUCAUGCGGUCCAGCCUCCAGAAAUUAUUGGAAGUGAACGGAACCAAAGGCCUUUCCGUCAACGAUUUCUACUCCGGCCUGGAGAGCUCGGGGUGGCUGCGCCACAUCAAAGCCGUCCUGGAUGCUGCCAUCUUCCUUGCCCGAGCCAUCGUGGUGGAGAGCGCGAGUGUGCUGGUGCACUGCUCCGACGGCUGGGACAGGACUGCCCAGGUGUGCUCCCUCGGCUCCCUCUUACUGGACCCCUACUACAGGACCCUCCGAGGAUUCCUGGUUUUAAUAGAAAAGGAUUGGAUCUCCUUUGGACAUAAAUUUUCAGAGAGGUGUGGCCAUUUGGACGGCGACCCGAAGGAAGUGUCACCCGUGUUCACUCAGUUCCUGGAGUGCGUGUGGCACCUGACCGAGCAGUUCCCACAGGCCUUCGAGUUCAAUGAAGCGUGUCUCCUCCAGAUCCACGAGCACGUUCACUCCUGCCAGUUCGGGAACUUUCUCGGAAAUUGUCAGAAGGAACAAGAAGAGCUCAAGCUGAAGGAGAAGACCUACUCCCUGUGGCCGCUUCUCCUGGACGACCAGAGGCCCUACUUGAACCCCCUCUACAGCCCCCGGGCCCAGGUGGCUGCCGCUUUGGAGCCGAAUACAGUGUCCUUCAAUUUUAAGUUUUGGAGAAACAUGUACCACCAGUUUGAUCGAACACUGCAUCCUAGGCAGUCUGUGUUGAAUAUAAUUAUGAAUAUGAGCGAGCAGACUAAGCAGCUGGAGAAAGAUGUCAAAGACUUAGAAUCCCAACUUAACAAGCAGCGUAAAAAUAAGCACGCAGAUGGAGUUCUCACCAAGGAAUUGCUGAAUUCGGUUCGACCUGAAUCACCUACCCUCAAAACCUCCUUGUGCUUUAAGGAACAGACUCUGCUGCCUGGCAAUGCUGCCCUUCGAACUAUAGAGGGCAGCAACCCCGCGGAUAACCGCUACAGCGAAUACGCCGAAGAGUUUUCCAAGUCGGAGCCUGCGGUGGUCAGCUUGGAGUAUGGCGUGGCCAGGAUGACCUGUUAGGCUCCGAGGGUGUUUUCUGGACCGAGUGCAGGGCGAGCCCUGGGUUGUUGUGAGGGAGGGCUGUGCGCGUGCCCCAGAGGGAUGUGCCCAGCGGGAGGUGAGGGGUUGGAGGAAGAGAAAACUGCUCUCGGGAGAGACGCCCGUCACGGUAAUUGCAUUUCUAGCAAGGAACGAAUGACUUUUGACUCUUGAAGAAGCAGCUGGUGUUGGCCAGUUGACUCCAGACACGGUCUGUACUGUGUACUGGUGCGCAGACACGCCGGGGUGGUUUCCAUGUCAUGGGCAGCCGCAGCGCCCAGCCCUCCCGGAGACCAUCCUGCCAGAAGGCGAAGCUGACGUGCGAAUUGACGGGGCUUGUGCUUUCAAUGAUGUGACUCAGACUCUUUGCAAAAUUUGCCUCUUAGUGAUGUUUCAUGUCCAAGUGCCAGGGAACGUGUUUCUAAGAAAGCCUUAAAAUCUCAGCGUGUUUGUUCCAUGCACUGUUGAAGUUCCGUGGCCUGCAGCAGGAAGGGUUUGUGCGGCCCUGCUCCCCGCCGAGGGGCUCCCGUGCCAACGGUGGACGACCUCACCUGCCGAGCCCACCUGCCCAGCUCACCAUGGCUCCUCCCACUUCCACAGUCAGAAAGAGUGAAACCGCAGGUUGUAUUCUGGUUCUGUGUUCCGUGACUUAUUAUUUACAAGAUAGAGGAUGGAUUUCUUGAAUAUGUAAAGCCCAUUUGACGGUCUUGUACGAGUGCAUUACUGCAUCCUGUCGGAUCCUUAUUUUGGGGUUGGCCUUAUUAUUCUGAAAACUAAGUUAAAAAAACGAAAUCUCUAAACUGUUCUUAGAAGCAAUGACGAGUACCUGUAUGUACUAAGGGCACAUCUAUAUUUUUAAACUGUUGUCUCAGUGAAUUGCUCUUCCUAGAAGAAACUUUCAGUUUAUCUAAGAAUUUCUGGGUUAAAAAAAAUAGUGCAGUUAGUUUAGAUUUUGCUUCAUUGCAUGGAUUUUUCCCUGUGAAAUAUUUUUUCUUCUCUGUUAACAUAGAAGGGGAAAAAAAAAAAGAAUUAAGGGCCGCCUAAUACAAAGUUAAAUGUUUUAACGAAAACCCUUAAAUGCUAGGAAGUUUCCUCUGGCCAUGUUACGUUAACUGUUUAUUCUCUGUACAUAGCAUUAACUUACCAGGGAAAAGAGAAUGAGAAAAGAAAGAAAAAAUCGCUUUCAAUUGAUAACGUCACCAAGCUGGCUUUAAAAUGGAAAAUUUAACCCGGGUGGCACAAGAUGGGCUUAAAGAGUACGAGGAAAUCUGCUUCGGAUCCCCUUAGGCUUCUUUUCAUUACCCCUCUGUCUCUUCCAUUGGUUUCGAACGCGAACACGUAUCUUUUUCAAAGGGAAAAAAAGCUUUAUUGUAUGAGCUUUACCUAAUCCUAUUUAUUUUUGCAGUACUUUUCUGUGACGCAUUAUGUAAUGAGAAAAAUACUUCUUUUUAAACAGUAAGAGAAACGUGCUAUAAAAUACAGUUUGUGACUUAGCCAAGCCUGUUUCCAUAUUCAAGCCCUGGGACAGGGAACUGAAUCUUCGUGACCACAAGGGAAGCUCUCGUGCCUUGUUACUUGGUUCCAGUUACUGAUUGUGGUUCUAGAAUCUUCCAUGACAGGCUUCUCAUGUUCAGCUCUUUGGUUUAUUUCCUUAAUCUUCAACUCGAGGCGUAUACAUGCGUGUCUACGUGCUCACACGUGACCUGAGACACUAGCUAACACCCGAAGUGACCUGCAGGCUCUGUGUUGGCAAAACACAGAUUGAUUGUGUAUGUGUCUUAAAAGAUUGGAUUUGUGUUCAGUGUGUUUGGGAGGGUAUAGCAUGUACAUUAUUACAUAUGUUAUUUAAUGGUCAUUAAACGCUCACGUUUUACUUUGGA